CCUACGGGAGGCUGCAGUGAGGAAUAUUGGUCAAUGGACGAGAGUCUGAACCAGCCAAGUAGCGUGAAGGAUGACUGCCCUAUGGGUUGUAAACUUCUUUUAUAUGGGAAUAAAACGUUCCACGUGUGGGAUUUUGUAUGUACCAUAUGAAUAAGGAUCGGCUAACUCCGUGCCAGCAGCCGCGGUAAUACGGAGGAUCCGAGCGUUAUCCGGAUUUAUUGGGUUUAAAGGGAGCGUAGGUGGAUGGUUAAGUCAGUUGUGAAAGUUUGCGGCUCAACCGUAAAAUUGCAGUUGAAACUGGCAGUCUUGAGUACAGUAGAGGUGGGCGGAAUUCGUGGUGUAGCGGUGAAAUGCUUAGAUAUCACGAAGAACUCCGAUUGCGAAGGCAGUUCACUGGACUGCAACUGACACUGAGGCUCGAAAGUGUGGGUAUCAAACAGGAUUAGAUACCCGGGUAGUC
rnacentral:rRNA from 1 species